rnacentral:rRNA from 1 species
GUGGGGAAUAUUCCGCAAUGGACGAAAGUCUGACGGAGCAACGCCGCGUGAGUGAUGAAGGUUUUCGGAUUGUAAAGCUCUGUUAAUCGGGACGAAAGAGCCUAGUGUGAAUAAUGCUAGGAAGUGACGGUACCGGAAUAGAAAGCCACGGCUAACUACGUGCCAGCAGCCGCGGUAAUACGUAGGUGGCAAGCGUUGUCCGGAAUUAUUGGGCGUAAAGCGCGCGCAGGCGGAUCUGCCAGUCUGUCUUAAAAGUUCGGGGCUUAACCCCGUGAUGGGAUGGAAACUACAGAUCUAGAGUAUCGGAGAGGAAAGUGGAAUUCCUAGUGUAGCGGUGAAAUGCGUAGAUAUUAGGAAGAACACCAGUGGCGAAGGCGACUUUCUGGACGAAAACUGACGCUGAGGCGCGAAAGCCAGGGGAGCGAACGGGAUUAGAAACCCUAGUAGUCC